rnacentral:rRNA from 1 species
AUUGAACGCUGGCGGCAUGCCUUACACAUGCAAGUCGAACGGCAGCACGGGAGCAAUCCUGGUGGCGAGUGGCGAACGGGUGAGUAAUAUAUCGGAACGUGCCCAGUCGUGGGGAUAACGUAGCGAAAGCUACGCUAAUACCGCAUACGAUCUAUGGAUGAAAGCGGGGGAUCGCAAGACCUCGCGCGAUUGGAGCGGCCGAUAUCAGAUUAGGUAGUUGGUGAGGUAAAGGCUCGCCAAGCCGACGAUCUGUAGCUGGUCUGAGAGGACGACCAGCCACACUGGGACUGAGACACGGCCCAGACUCCUACGGAGGCAGCAGUGGGGAAUUUUGGACAAUGGGCGCAAGCCUGAUCCAGCAAUGCCGCGUGCAGGAUGAAGGGCCUUCGGGUU